AUGGAGUACCAGGGACAGCAGCAGCACGGCCAGGCGGCGACCAACCGCGUCGCCGAGUACGGUAACCCGGUGGCCGGACAUGGCGCCGGCACCGGCAUGGGCGCGCACGGCGGCGUCGGCACCGGCGCCGGCGCGGCUGCAGGUGGGCAUUUCCAGCCCACGAGGGAGGAGCACAAGGCCGGAGGGAUCCUGCAGCGCUCCGGCAGCUCCAGUAGCUCCAGUUCGUCUGAGGAUGAUGGCAUGGGCGGGAGGAAGAAGAAGGGCAUCAAGGAUAAGAUCAAAGAGAAGCUUCCGGGUGGCCACGGCGACCAGCAGCAGACCGCCGGCACCUACGGACAGCAAGGUCAUACGGGAACGGCCGGCACCGGCGGCACUUACGGCCAACCGGGACACACCGGAAUGGCUGGCACCGACAGCACCGGUGAGAAGAAGGGCAUCAUGGACAAGAUCAAGGAGAAGCUGCCCGGACAGCACUGA
rnacentral:rRNA from 1 species